GCAGAAUUCAUGAGAAAGGGAGAAAUUGCACCUGAGAUUGCAGUCUAGUGAAGCAUACACACCUUUGUACAAAGAAAUUUUAAGGAUGCAAGGAACUUGGCUACCUCUCAUCUUUGCUCCUGGCUCAUCUUGG
rnacentral:lncRNA from 12 species